UACGUAGGGUGCGAGCGUUGUCCGGAAUUAUUGGGCGUAAAGGGCUCGUAGGCGGUUUGCCGCGUCGGGAGUGAAAACCUCGGGCUUAACUCGGGGCUUGCUUUCGAUACGGGCAGACUAGAGGUAUGCAGGGGAGAACGGAAUUCCUGGUGUAGCGGUGAAAUGACGCAGAUAUCAGGAGGAACACCGGUGGCGAAGGCGGUUCUCUGGGCAUGAUCUGACGCUGAGGAGCGAAAGUGUGGGGAGCGAACAGG
rnacentral:rRNA from 1 species